UCCUUUCUCUCUCUCUCGGAUCACUUAUGCUAAAAUACACAAGCUGCCAUGUCACAAACAGCCCUGUGAAGAGGCCUACAUGAUACAGCAAAGAACUGAGGCCCUCAGUCCAGCAGCCAGUGAGGAAUUAACACCCUCAAUCCAACAACCUGUGAGGGAAUCAAGCCUGCUAAUGAUCAGAUAAGUGAACAUGCAAGUCCGUCCUUCAGUGCCAAUUGAGUCUUUUCUUUUUCUUGGGAUAGAAUCUUAUUCUGUCACAAAGCGGUAUGAUCUAGGCUCACUGCAACCUCUGCCUCCUGGGUUCAAGUGAUUCUCCUGCCUCAGCCUCCCGAAUAGCUGGGAUUAUGGGCACGUGCCACCACACCCAGCUAAUUUUUGUAUUUUUAGUAGAGACAGGGUUUUUCCAUGUUGAUCAGGCUGGUCUCGAACUCCUGACCUCAGGUGAUCCACCCACCUCAGCCUCCCACAGUGCUGGGAUUACAGGUGUGCACCACUACGCUUGAACUGAUUUUUGUAUUUUUAGUAGAGAUGAGGCUUCAUCAUGUUGGCCAGGCUGGUCUUGAACUCCCGGCCUCAAGUGAUCCACCCACCUCAGCCUCCCAAAGUACUAGGAUUACAGGUGUGAGCCACUGCACCCAGCCCCUACUUGAGUCUUAAGAUGAGACUGAAGGCCUGUCUGACAGUUUUACUGCAAUCUCAAAAGAGACCUUGAGCCAGCAAGAUCCAGCAAAGCCACUCUGGAUCCCUGAGCCACUGAAACUGUGAGGAAUGAACGUUCCCAAAUUGGAGCUGUCCAGCAAUAAGGUGGAUUGCCUUUGAAGAAGCUGAGUUCCUUGCCAUAGGAAGUAUUCAAGCAGAAAGGUACAAAGACUCAACGACAGAGUGCCAGAGAGGAUGUCUUAUGGAGAUGGUUGACAUAAACCUCUCUAACUGCAUGGGCUAGAAGGGAUCCAGGAAGCCCCCUAGAAACUUUCUCAGAGGUUUCCUCUCUCAGCUUGGAGCCCCCUCCCUCUGUCUCUACAGCUUACGACAGGUUUAUUGGGACAAUGCCAUCAUAAAUCAAGAAGCAUCUGUAAGUCCACUGAAAUAAAACGGACAUACCCUGAGAAAUGACAAAAACACCAACUAUUCACCAUUGUCCCAAGGCAAGAUCACAAAGGAAUGACUCAGAAGUGGCUUCUGACACAAGGCAGAGGGAUGACUCAGAAGUGGCUUCUGACACCAGGCGGUGCCUGAGAUAGGAAAGUGCAUGAGAGCCAGCAGCAGCCAGCCAA
rnacentral:lncRNA from 1 species